rnacentral:rRNA from 1 species
UCACUUACGAUCACCGAAGUUAAGCAACGUCGAGCUUGGUCAGUACUUAGAAGAGUGACCGCUUUGGAAUACCAGGCGCUGUAGG